rnacentral:rRNA from 1 species
CGGGGUGCAGCAGUGGGGAAUUUUGCACAAUGGGGGAAACCCUGAUGCAGCGACGCCGCGUGAUUUAGAAGGCCUUCGGGUUGUAAAAAUCUUUUGUAUGGGAAGAAAAUGACAGUACCAUACGAAUAAGGACCGGCUAAUUACGUGCCAGCAGCCGCGGUAAUACGUAAGGUCCGAGCGUUGUCCGGAAUCAUUGGGCGUAAAGGGUACGUAGGCGGAUAAGCAAGUUAGAAGUUAAAUCCUAUAGCUCAACUAUAGCAAGCUUUUAAAACUGCUCAUCUUGAGGUAUGGAAGGGAAAGUGGAAUUCCUAGUGUAGCGGUGAAAUGCGCAGAUAUUAGGAGGAAUACCGGUGGCGAAGGCGACUUUCUGGCCAUAAACUGACGCUGAGGUACGAAAGCGUGGGUAGCAAACAGGAUUAGAUACCCCUGU